rnacentral:lncRNA from 1 species
AAGGCGUCAGCUUCAAGAACCACGUCAUCCAGGUCGGUCGGUCGGUCGCCGCCCCCUCCUCCAUUCUCGCACUCACACCUCCGCAACCGUUUCCCGUUUCGUUUCCUCGCCAGCUUCCCCGGCGCACGGUUUCUGCGCAGUACUCAUGCUGCUUUUCCACGGUUGGGGGGCAUGGAAUCGACUGCGGCGGCGGACGAGGGAGGCAACGGCGGCGCCGGCGCGUCUUCUUACGUCUGGGAGUCAAGUAGUCAACGCGUGUUGGAGCCAAGCCGCACGCAUGACGUCGGCACCUGGAGCUGAGCGAGCGACUAUCGAGCCGAGCGAGGAACGCGUGGGAGGCGGAAAGCAGGCAAGCGUCCGAUCCUCCAGCUGUUCACGUGCUGCGCAUCGGGGCACGACUGUACCAGGC